rnacentral:rRNA from 1 species
AGAGUUUGAUCAUGGCUCAGAACGAACGCUGGCGGCGUGCUUAACACAUGCAAGUCGCGUGCGCAGUUGCCGUAGCAAUACGGUGAUGGGCGCACGGCGCACGGGUGCGUAACACGUGGGCAAUCUACCCUUUGAUGGGGAAUAACCCGUCGAAAGGCGGGCUAAUUCCGCAUAAGAUUCUUUGAACCUCGGUUUGAAGAUUGAAAGCAGUAAUGCGUCGAAGGAGGAGCCCGCGCCCGAUUAGCUAGUUGGUGAGGUAACGGCUCACCAAGGCUAUGAUCGGUAGCUGGUCUGAGAGGAUGAUCAGCCACACUGGAACUGAGACACGGUCCAGACUCCUACGGGAGGCAGCAGUGGGGAAUCUUGCACAAUGGGCGAAAGCCUGAUGCAGCGACGCCGCGUGGGGGAUGAAGCUUCUCGGAGUGUAAACCCCUUUCGACUGGGAAGAAAGCCUCGCAAGAGGACUGACGGUACCAGUAUAAGAAGCCCCGGCUAACUACGUGCCAGCAGCCGCGGUAAGACGUAGGGGGCCAGCGUUGUUCGGAAUUACUGGGUGUAAAGGGUUCGUAGGCGGUGUGGCAAGUUGGGAGUGAAAUCUCUGGGCUCAACCCAGAGGCUGCUUCCAAAACUGCUGUGCUUGAGUGUGAGAGAGGCUCGUGGAAUUGCAGGUGUAGCGGUGAAAUGCGUAGAUAUCUGCAGGAACACCCGUGGCGAAAGCGGCGAGCUGGAUCACAGCUGACGCUGAGGAACGAAAGCUAGGGGAGCAAACAGGAUUAGAUACCCUGGUAGUCCUAGCCCUAAACGAUCAGGACUUGGGGUGCCGCCCGUUCGGGCGUCGUCCCGGAGCUAACGCGUUAAGUCCUGCACCUGGGGGGUACGGUCGCAAGACUGAAACUCAAGGAUUGACGGGGGCCCGCACAAGCGGUGGAACAUGUGGUUCAAUUCGACGCUACGCGAGGAUUCUUUACC